rnacentral:tRNA from 2 species
UAACAACGAAGUAAAAUUUACAUUUAGUUUCGACCUAAAAAUAAGACUUAAAUCUCAUGUUUU